ACGGUGGUAAUGCCGGAUGCUCCAGUUGAUCGCAUGGUCUUCUGGGAAAGCUUUCGCGGUAUGGGAUGGGGUCGCGUCCUAUCAGCUUGACGGCGGGGUAACGGCCCACCGUGGCUUCGACGGGUAGCCGGCCUGAGAGGGCGACCGGCCACAUUGGGACUGAGAUACGGCCCAGACUCCUACGGGAGGCAGCAGUGGGGAAUAUUGCACAAUGGGCGCAAGCCUGAUGCAGCGACGCCGCGUGAGGGAUGGAGGCCUUCGGGUUGUAAACCUCUUUUAUCGGGGAGCAAGCGAGAGUGAGUUUACCCGUUGAAUAAGCACCGGCUAACUACGUGCCAGCAGCCGCGGUAAUACGUAGGGUGCAAGCGUUAUCCGGAAUUAUUGGGCGUAAAGGGCUCGUAGGCGGUUCGUCGCGUCCGGUGUGAAAGUCCAUCGCUUAACGGUGGAUCCGCGCCGGGUACGGGCGGGCUUGAGUGCGGUAGGGGAGACUGGAAUUCCCGGUGUAACGGUGGAAUGUGUAGAUAUCGAA
rnacentral:rRNA from 1 species